rnacentral:rRNA from 1 species
UACGGGGGGGGCAAGCGUUGUUCGGAAUUACUGGGCGUAAAGGGCUCGUAGGCGGCCAACUAAGUCAGACGUGAAAUCCCUCAGCUUAACUGAGGAACUGCGUCUGAUACUGGAUGGCUUGAGGUUGGGAGAGGGAUGCGGAAUUCCAGGUGUAGCGGUGAAAUGCGUAGAUAUCUGGAGGAACACCGGUGGCGAAGGCGGCAUCCUGGACCAAUUCUGACGCUGAGGAGCGAAAGCCAGGGGAGCAAACGGG